CCACCAACUUCCUGGUCGGAGGUGCAGACACAUGUUGGGAGCCUACAAACGAGCUAGAAGAAACAGCCGUUAGAACAGUGACUCCAAGUGUGUUGGCAUGUCGGCUGGUUGCACCUGCGGCCUCCCCCACUGCAAUAACGCGGACAGACAGUGCCAGCACCUUUACAGGCGCCCCUGGAGCGUUGGGUUGCCCACCUGCGGC